CGAAUACUUGAAGCCCUUACCUAAUAUAAACCCUAUAUAUAUAAAGCUUAUCACAUUCCUUGCCUCUUGACUUGCAUUUCAUUUGUUUGAAAGACAAAUACCUUUUUUUUCUCUCUCCUAUCUUCUUUCUAAUCUCUUUCUUCCAUUAAACGUUUGAAUCCCUCCACACUCUGUGCAUACUCGGUUGAAGCUCGAAAAAUUUCUCCUUUAAGUCACCUCCACCUCCACGUCCUCAACUCAAUCCUUGUGACAAAAGGAAAGAACAACAAUUUACAGAGAACGCAUAUGAAGGAUUUUGAGAAGUUAAAAUUUGUUGUAAAUUUAAGUUUCAAAUCCUUUUAAUUUGAAGUUUUGGCUGAAAAUUUAAGACGUUUAUUUUCACUUGUGAUUUACAGAUUUAUCUAAGUUGAAAUGCAACUUGUAUU